UGCUGAAGAUACUUGGUUCUU
ensembl:piRNA 21ur-465 ncRNA